rnacentral:SRP_RNA from 1 species
GCCGGAUGUGGUGGCGCACACCUGUAGUCCUGGCUACUCAGGAGGCUGAGGCAGAAGAAUCGCUUGAACCCAGGAGGCAGAGGUUGCAGUGAGCUGAGAUUGCGCCACUGCACUCUAGCCUGGGUGACAGAGUGAGACUCUGUCUCAA